rnacentral:lncRNA from 1 species
AGUGCCAAAACACACCGGAACAGGAGGCGACAGCAAGUGACAGUCGCUGAGAUUGACAGGUUCCAUGUUUUCUUCGGUUUGAAACAAAACAACAGCCAACCGCGUCACAAUUUACAAGUUGUUUUCAGAAAUCCCAGUUGCAACCUGGCUUGAAUUGUUGAUUUGGAAAGGAUUAUUUUUCUCAGCCAUGUUCAUCAAAAGGACGCAUCGAAAACAUUUUGGUGAAUCAUUUUGGAUGGACUUGGAUGUUUGUGAUGCUGUUGGUGAAGCUGGUUUCAGAGAGAAAGUGAGCUGCACUUUUACAUGGCUGGAGCUGAAAGAACAUGGAGCCAAAAGAAAAACUUCAGAUUGAAGGUGAUGACCGUGGAGGAUCUACUGGAGCUUCCUGGGAGGCUGAACUGAGAUCAACAAAUCAAGCAUCUGGUUGUCGUCCUUUUGGUGUUUUUUAGUUUCACUACUAAAAGCCUCCAUUUGUAUUCUGGCUUUAACUUCCCCUCUAGUUAUGCCAGCACAAAGUCAAGUCGCUAACAACACUUGAUAUGAUUUUGCUACAAAUGAGGUGCAGUAUUAGUGUUGACUUUAAGAGCACAUAUACAUAGCCUUUUAUAAUCAUAUUUGAAGAUGUAUUUUCUUGCUCAGUGUGUGGACCUCUGCACUGUCUGACUUGCUUGCCUGGAUAGAAUACCUGUACUGACUUGUUUAAUGUAUAUCAGCAUGUGUUGUGUACAUUUGUAAUGUGGAAAAAUUGAUACUGUUAUAAAGAAUAAAAACGUAUAAUGUAUGUGCCAGACUUGUUAACUCAUUCAUGGAGCAAGCCUGUUUGAUUCAAACUUU